rnacentral:lncRNA from 1 species
AUACUAGUUUAAGGGGUAAAGUUUUAUUUCAGUGAAAGUGAUCACUUUUUGUGGAAAUAAAGCUAUGAAAUAAUCCUUUUAAUUUAGGGUCCUGUAUUUGACAUCUCUGAUGAAGUUUGCUGGACAAUACUCGAUUAAGCUGAGCCUUUAAAUUUGCUAUUUAAUGGGCAUUGAAAAUAAAUAAAUAGUUUUUUAUCCUGCAGAAGUUUUAGAAAUUUAUCACUAAUCCUGGAGUGUGGGAGUAUAUGCUCUUUUAAAGCCACGUACUCUUUUUAAGUGUGGACAAAAUUGGCUCAGGUAAAAUAAGAGCCCGAAGAGCAAUCUGCUAGAGGUCAUGUGUUGACCUUCACUUGAAGAGUCCCAAGAUGCAUAAAUUUUAUGCUUCUUUUUACAAGAGUUCAAUGUUGGCAUUUUGUCAUAGCCUUGUGUAUGUUCUCCCUGUCACGGACUGAUGUUGGGUGUCUGACUUAUUGUGGAGAGAUGCAAUUUAUGGAUUCUCCUGGCGUUCUGAUGGUUUUCAAUACUUACUCAUCAUUUAUGAAUUUUAUCUUCCUUUAAUGUAUCUGUAAACUCUGUUACUCUCUAUAUAGUUAUGUUGCCGAUGUAGAGUAGAGAAGGCAAUGUGUAAGUUGGUGUUAGGAUUCUCUACCCUGAUGAUGUGAGUGGUUUUCAUGUUCUAGGAGAGACAGAUCAGAAAAGGUGAAUUUCUUUGUUCAAAGCAGUAGACUUCCAUCUAAGUGUCCACCCCUUCGCUGUUCCCCAUCUCCUGGCCCUGGAAGUUGAAUGAGAUCAAACAUAGUGGAGAAGAAGAACAGCCAGACACCAUCCCUGCGGGUGUGUUUAUGUUUGGGAUUGAGUGUAGAGGAGGAGAGGAGGGUACAGACUGAGAGGUGAGUGAAAGGAGGAAUUUUACAUGGAGAUUCUUAGAAUGCUCUCAUACUAGCCUUCUUUACUUGGCUUUACUGAAUUUCCCAAUCAGCAAGUAUGUCAAGAAAAGCAGUUUAACAAUUUAAUCUGCAGAACCAU